rnacentral:rRNA from 1 species
UACGUAGGUGGCGAGCGUUGUCCGGAAUUACUGGGCGUAAAGGGAGCGUAGGCGGUCAAUUAAGUGGGAUGUGAAAACCCCGGGCUCAACCUGGGACCUGCAUUCCAAACUGGUUGACUAGAGUGCAGGAGAGGAAAGUGGAAUUCCAAGUGUAGCGGUGAAAUGCGUAGAGAUUUGGAGGAACACCAGUGGCGAAGGCGACUUUCUGGACUGUAACUGACGCUGAGGCUCGAGAGCGUGGGGAG